AAGGCCCUGGUUUGUUCGAUAGCCGCCCAAACGGUGAACCAACACAUUCGGCUUGGGAGCCGAUCUCGGAUCUGGCGCUUGCGCCUCGUCCGGUAGGCACCCACCUGUUCAUUCAGGUUCUCAGGCCGGGCGGUACCGGCAGACCGGGGCCCAC
rnacentral:other from 1 species